rnacentral:tRNA from 1 species
GCCUCUGUAGCUCAGUUGGUAGAGCGCGGGUCUCAUAAGCCCGAGGUCGAGGGUUCAAGUCCCCCUGGAGGCA